rfam:Absidia repens strain NRRL 1336 BCR42scaffold_39, whole genome shotgun sequence.
AUACUUACCUGGGCCGGGUAAUCGGUGAUCAUGAAGGCUGGUUAUCCAGCUGAUCCUAUGUUCAUUGCACUGCGAAGAUAGGAUUAGCUGCGAACACUUCGGUGUCUCGAGGUCGCAAUUUUUGUUUGAGGGAAAUAAGCGGUUCGCUGCUUGUUUCCCU